CAGUGGGGAAUAUUGCACAAUGGGCGCAAGCCUGAUGCAGCCAUGCCGCGUGUAUGAAGAAGGCCUUCGGGUUGUAAAGUACUUUCAGCAGUGAGGAAGGUGGGUAUGUUAAUAGCAUAUUCAUUUGACGUUUAGCUGCAGAAGAAGCACCGGCUAACUCCGUGCCAGCAGCCGCGGUAAUACGGAGGGUGCGAGCGUUUAAUCGGAAUUACUGGGCGUAAAGCGCAUGCAGGUGGUUUGUUAAGUCAGAUGUGAAAGCCCGGGGCUCAACCUCGGAAUUGCAUUUGAAACUGGCAAACUAGAGUACUGUAGAGGGGGUAGAAUUUCAGGUGUAGCGGUGAAAUGCGUAGAGAUCUGAAGGAAUACCGGUGGCGAAGGCGGCCCCCUGGACAGAUACUGACACUCAGAUGCGAAAGCGUGGGGAGCAAACAGGAUUAGAUACCCUGGUAG
rnacentral:rRNA from 1 species